rnacentral:misc_RNA from 1 species
UGUGUUAAGAGAAAAAUAUAGGAAUAAGAUAUAGAUUCAGACUUAGAGAGGAUUGAGAAAGUCAUAAGAAUUUCUUAAUAAGAGAUGAUAUCUUAUUACAUUUUGAAGAUAGAAGUAACAAAGGCUUUCCUUUCAUAAAGGAAAAGAGAGAACAGGCAAACUAUAAAAGUGAUUGAUAUCACUAGGCUUAGUACAAAUAAUCACGUGAUAAGGCAUUUAAUGCCUUUAAAUAUAGACAAUCAGACGACACACUAAGAUUUUAGUAUAAAUAUAGAUAAGUGAUAAUGGAUCUGAUAUAAAGAGUCACACAAAGUCAUAGAAUGAAAUCCUAUGCUCGAACCACCUCAGCAAUACUAUUAUAGAGUCAAGAAAGAAUUCUGAUUAGCAUUCAGAUUAAAAUUGUCACAGUUUGAGUCAUAUAAAUCAAUUUCUUUAUAGAGAUUUUUUUACUAUAAUCUUUCAAUUUCAGCUGUGCUGGCAAUAGUUU